GACGAACGCUGGCGGCGUGCUUAACACAUGCAAGUCGAACGGCAAGGCCCUGCUUUUGUGGGGUGCUCGAGUGUCGAACGGGUGAGUAACACGUGAGUAACCUGCCCUUGACUUUGGGAUAACUUCAGGAAACUGGGGCUAAUACCGGAUAGGAGCUCCUGCUGCAUGGUGGGGGUUGGAAAGUUUCGUCGGUUGGGGAUGGACUCGCGGCUUAUCAGCUUGUUGGUGGGGUAGUGGCUUACCAAGGCUUUGACGGUUAGCCGGCCUGAGAGGGUGACCGGGCACAAUGGGAAUGAGAGACGGCCCAGACGCCUACGGGAGGCAGCAGUGGGGAAUAUUGCACAAUGGGCGGAAGCCGGAUGCAGAAACGCCGCGGGCGGGAUGACGGCCUUCGGGUUGUAAACCGCUGUCGCCUGUGACGAAGCGGGAGUGACGGUAAUGGGUAAAGAAGCACCGGCUAACUACGUG
rnacentral:rRNA from 1 species